rnacentral:rRNA from 1 species
UUCGGUUGAUCCUGCCGAAGGCUACUGCUAUUGGAGUUCGAUUAAGCCAUGCGAGUCUAAGGGGUACUUGUACCCCUGGCAUAAUGCUCAGUAACACGUGGAUAAUCUACCCUUAGGUGGGGCAUAAACCCGGGAAACUGGGGCUAAUACCCCAUAGAUACAGAACGCUGGAAUGCCUCUGUAUUCAAAGCUCCGGCGCCUAAGGAUGAGUCUGCGACCUAUCAGGUAGUAGUCAGGGUCACGACCUGACUAGCCAACGACGGGUACGGGGUGUGAGAGCACUUGCCCGGAGAUGGUUUCUGAGACACGAAACCAGGCCCUACGGGGCGCAGCAGGCGCGAAAACUUCGCAAUGCGGGAAACCGUGACGAGGGAACUCCAAGUGUCUAUGCAAUGCAUAGACUGUUUUUCAGCCUAAAUAGCUGUUAGAGUAAGGGGUGGGUAAGACCGGUGCCAGCCGCCGCGGUAACACCGGCACCCCGAGUGGUAGCCACUAUUAUUGGGCCUAAAGCGUUCGUAGCCGGUUUAGUAAAUUCUUGGGUAAAUCGUACAGCUUAACUGUGCGGAUUCCGGGGACACUACUAGACUUGAGACCGGGAGAGAUUAGAGGUACUUGCAGGGGAGCGGUGAAAUGUUGUAAUCCUGCAGGGACCACCAGUGGCGAAGGCGUCUAAUCAUAACGGCUCUGACGGUGAGGAACGAAACCCUGGGGCGCAAACGGGAUUAGAUACCCCGGUAGUCCAGGGCGUAAACGCUGCUGACUUGGUGUUGGAGAUCCUACGAGGGUGUCCAGUGCUGGCGCGAAGGUAUUAAGUCAGCCGCCUGGGGAGUACGGUCGCAAGACUGAAACUUAAAGGAAUUGGCGGGGGAGCACUGCAACGUGUGGAGCGUGCGGUUUAAUUGGAUUCAACGCCGGAAAACUCACCGGGGGCGACGGUUACAUGAAGGCCAAGCUGAUGACUUUGCCUGAUUUUCCGAGAGGUGGUGCAUGGCCGCCGUCAGUUCGUACCGUAAGGCGUUCUGUUAAGUCAGA